GGCCAGCGCCUAAGCACCAUUUGAGGUCUAUCUGUGCACGUCGUGCCUUAUCCACACAAAGAAGCAAGUAUUCUUGAGACAUACAUUCAUCCAUUUUCUGAGCUGCUUAUCCUCACGAGGGUCAUGGGAGUGCUGUAGCCUAUCCCAGCUAUCUUCGGGCUUGAGCGAGCAGUUCUUCCCACGAAGAAACCGGCGUCCAUCCCGCGGGCGCAUCACACCCGCGCACCUGUGAAUACGCACUCUGGCGUGUCAGCGGCUGUCUCCUCCUCUCAUCACUGUCACCCAAAACGUGAGCGCCGAACGGCCACCAUUUUCUCGAGUUGUUAUUUAUGGCUUCACAAAUGGAGGAGGAAGUGGAACUACAAGUCAACGCGCUGACGGUUAUCAAUCAACCUCACAUUUUAUUCCCUGACGCGCCUCAGCUGUAAAAGCUUCACGUGACCUGAAUGUUAAUUUUAUUUUUUUGUUGUUGUUGUUUUUGUCCUCACACCCCCGAGAGCGGACGUGACUCACUCUGGGCCAGAAUCGAUAAAAAGGGGAAGAGCCGAUAGGAUGUCAGGAAACCUCAAAAAUCACAUCCUCAACCUGUUUUGAGAGAGUUUUGAGACGUGAUGAAGAAAAAUUGGAACAUUCAUAACAGAUAAAUUGCUGUAUCAAUAAACGACUGAUUUUGUGUAUCUUGCUAGUUGAACAUGAAAGUUUUCAUUUUGGGUAAACUAUGUUGAAAUGUUAAAACAGACAUUACCGGUGUUAGCCAAAACGUUAGCGCUCGCUAAAUUAGCCUAGCUUACUUUAGAAACACACGGCAGCGAGUUUCAGUGCUCAUAAAAAGUCACACAUUCAAACGAGCCCCAUAAAAGGUAAAAAAAAAAAUAAUAAUAAUUGUCUAUUAUUUUACAAUAUUUUAAGGAGUCUUUCUGCUUCAUCUGAAAGAAAUAGCAACAUUUAAGCAGCACAUCUUCUUGACCACCCCAGUAAGCUAUAGCGUCGACUUGGCUAGCAUUCUCCGGAAAAUAAUACAUCGCAUUCAAGGGCUGAAUAUUACAGCCAGUGAAGAACAUGUACAAAUUUUUAAAAACAUAAAUGACUGGUAGCGUUACCAAAAUGUUCACUUUAUUGUUGUUGUUUUUUUUCUUAUCAAUGUAGCGCCUUCCGUCCAAGUCGACAAUGCGUCCGCAAAUUACAUUCAAGAAAAUCCUUUGUUUUAUUUAAAUUAAAUAAAAUACAUUUAAAAAUAAUACAUUUAUUAUAUAAAAUUAAAUACCCAUUUUUGAGUUUGGUGCCCGGCUGUAAAUUUAAAUUACAAUAAAAUAAAAAAAAAAAAACACUUAAAUCACAUACUACAUUUUUUCAACAAUUUCAACUCAAACAAACCCUUUAUACUCUGACUUCUAACACCUGAUACCGACGAGUCAUAAAUCUACUCCAUGUUCAAUAUUGUUUGUGUUUUUGAACAAUUUUUGAUUUUAGAAAAAAUAUUUGACAUAUUCCAACAUUUGAUUUUAGAAAAAACAUAUUUUCAUCACAAUGGCAGAACCUAAAAAUACAGGAUGUGUGGAUUUCGCGACGAAACGCAGAAGGUCACAUGACGUGAGUCAUC